GAUCAUAGCACGGCGGACGGGGAAUUUCAAUAUCCUGUCGCUCAGGCAAACGGAAGAAAUAUACUUGUGAGGAUACGGGAUUUCACGGGGCCCCUCCGCGGGCCACGAUUGCGGAGCACGGAUUGAAUGAUCCGCAGGAAGCAUUUGCUUCCAUGUCCUGUGAGAAUCGUCGCAAAAGCAGGUCACAUACAUCAUCGAGACUACCUUCCAAUGUCCGUUCAGAAGUCCUGCGCGAUGGAAAGAAAGUGAAUCGUUGGUGACUCGCCUUACGAGAGAGGUCAUCUUUUACGUGACCAAAUAUUUGGAUGACAGAAACGAGGUGUCAUUUAAGAAGCUUGACACUCGUAUAGGAUCCUCCGUAAGAAUAGAUCUUCACGCCUGAGAUAUCUUAGCUAAUUUCGUCAUAAGCGACACGGAUUUCGAAAUCCAUGGUUGUAUCUAAAGAUAUACUCAAAAAAUACUUCUUUCUUCUGAUUAUAUUGUAAUCUCUUUUCUAAUAUCCACAAUCAAUUUAAUAUAGUAAACCACGUGAGUAUUGUUAUGGAUAAAAAUAAUUCACAGGAUAUAUUUUGAGCCUCGAAGGAAAUCCAGUGACAAUUCCCAAUAUCUAUCACCUGCUCUCGAAUGCACAUAUCAUAGACAAUCCAUCACACUACAUCAUAGCUAAACAAGAUUGUUUUAGGCGAGUAUAUAAUAGGAACAAGAUACAUCAAUUAAAGAAACAUCCAAUGACGAUAAGAUCGAUGUUUCAAAAAUAUCCGGCGAAUAUAUAAGCUUGCGUUGAAAAUUGAUUUAUCGACCCGAGAAUAAAUAAGAGAAUUAAAUAGCAAUUUCGCUAAUUGCAAACAGGACACGUAAUACUCACUGACCUUGUUCUUGUAAAGGCCAUUUAUCGGAGAACCGUUAUCGCACUUCACUUGUAGCCUUAUCGGCGUGCCGAAAUGUUGCUAUACAAUAAAUAUACGCCCCCAUGAGCAC